rnacentral:pre_miRNA from 1 species
GCCCUGUCUCCCAUACAAACACACACGCUAGUGUUCUGUCGAUCUGUUAUGCUCGCGUGCGUGUUCGUAUGGGAGCCAGAUA